UCUGGCCCACUGGCCUCCUGGCUGGCUCCCCACCUGCUGCCGGCCCCACUGCCCUGCCAGGCCUCCUCUUCCCCUCCCCCUGGCCCAC
rnacentral:miRNA from 1 species